rnacentral:rRNA from 1 species
GACGAACGCUGGCGGCGUGCUUAACACAUGCAAGUCGAACGAAGUGGCGAACGGGUGAGUAACGCGUAAUCAACCUGCCCUUCAGAGGGGGACAACAGUUGGAAACGACUGCUAAUACCGCAUACUGAAGGAGGGGCUUGCGUCGGAUUAGGUAGUUGGAGGGGUAACGGCCCACCAAGGCGAUGAUCAGUAGCCGGUCUGGGAGGGUGAACGGCCACAGUGGGACUGGGGCACGGGCCAGACUCCUACGGGAGGGAGGAGUGGGGGAUCUUCCGCAAUGGACGAAAGUCUGACGGAGCAACGCCGCGUGAGUGAUGACGGCCUUCGGGUUGUAAAGCUCUGUUAAUCGGGACGCGGUACCGGAAUAGAAAGCCACGGCUAACUACGUGCCAGCAGCCGCGGUAAUUC